CCGGCGGGAUCGGGCAGAUACCGGUGCAGCAUGGGCCAGGAUCCCCAACACUGGACUCUACAGGAACAGUCAGGUGGAUACCAUAAGUCCAGAGCUCAGAGAUAACAUCAGGGAAAGUUCAAGAUAUACACAGGACAGCCGAGGAGAAGGAACAAGAAGCAAUGAAAACAUAUCACCUAAGGGUAUGGUUACUGGACAUUUCCUCAAGGAUGGUGGAUGCUGGCUUCUGCCUCACCUAGCUCCCCAAGAAGCUUUUGAAGAUGAUGAAUAAGGGAUUCCAGUUCGAUGGUGAAGCAGGCAUCUAAGGAAGCUUUGAUAAGCUAACCCUUUCACACAAGGAACUUUCCAACAAAAGAUAAACUCCUGGGACGCCUGGGUGGCUCAGUUGGCUGGACGACUGCCUUUGACUCA